rnacentral:piRNA from 1 species
UAGGACUCUUAUUACCGAGCUGGUGUGAUGU